UCCAUGGCGGGCCGUCCGGGGAGGCCUUCGGGCCUGCCGUCUCCUUUGCUGCGGUAUCCUACCCCCGUACGGUCCGCCUCCCU
rnacentral:antisense_RNA from 1 species